rnacentral:rRNA from 1 species
UACGGGGGGGGGCAAGCGUUGUUCGGAAUUACUGGGCGUAAAGGGCUCGUAGGCGGCCAACUAAGUCAGACGUGAAAUCCCUCGGCUUAACCGGGGAACUGCGUCUGAUACUGGAUGGCUUGAGUUUGGGAGAGGGAUGCGGAAUUCCAGGUGUAGCGGUGAAAUGCGUAGAUAUCUGGAGGAACACCGGUGGCGAAGGCGGCAUCCUGGACCAACACUGACGCUGAGUGAGCGAAAGCCAGGAGAGCAAACGGG